UCAUUAAGAAGCUAUGGACCAGCACUAGCCUUUUAAGCUAGAGAAAGAGGACAAUACCUCCUCCUUAAUGGU
rnacentral:tRNA from 1 species